CUGUGAUUUAAACAUUCUACACUUGCGUGAGCGCGACUACAACACGAAAACCGUAUGUACUAUUGUCAACAAACAACAAAACAAACA
rnacentral:misc_RNA from 1 species